UCCUUCAACCCAUGAGGUAACGUGGCGCCCGGGUGAGUAACGAGUGGAUUAUCUACCUGCAUCACCGGAAUAACGGUUGGAAACGACUGCUAAUGCCGGAUAGUCUUGAAAGGGUAAAGGGGGCCUCUGCUUGCAAGCUUCCGGGUGCUGAUGAGUCCGCGUCUGAUUAGCUAGUUGGUGAGGUAAUGGCUCACCAAGGCAACGAUCAGUAGCAGGUUUGAGAGGAUGACCUGCCACACUGGGACUGGAACACGGCCCAGACUCCUACGGGAGGCAGCAGUGGGGAAUAUUGCGCAAUGGGCGAAAGCCUGACGCAGCGACGCCGCGUGGAGGAUGAAGGCCUUCGGGUCGUAAACUCCUGUCAAGAGGGAAGAACCGUAUGCGGAAUAAUACGCCGCAUGCCUGACGGUACCUCUAGAGGAAGCACCGGCUAACUCCGUGCCAGCAGCCGCGGUAAUACGGAGGGUGCAAGCGUUAAUCGGAAUCACUGGGCGUAAAGCGCGCGUAGGCGGCUUGGUAAGUCAGGUGUGAAAGCCCCCGGCCCAACCGGGGAAUUGCACUUGAUACUGCUAGGCUAGAGUUCAGGAGAGGGUGGCGGAAUUCCAGGUGUAGGAGUGAAAUCCGUAGAUAUCUGGAGGAACACCGGUGGCGAAGGCGGCCACCUGGACUGACACUGACGCUGAGUGCGAAAGCGUGGGUAGCAAACAGGAUUAGAUACCCUGGUAGUCCACGCCGUAAGAUGGAUACUAGGUGUCGGGGACUUGAUCCUCGGUGCCGUAACUAAA
rnacentral:rRNA from 2 species